CGAUUGAAGUCAGUCAUGCUCUCCGAGACUCAGCCGAUUCUGUCGGUGUACUUCUCGGUUGGCAGGCCAGCAUCAGUUUYKAUCUGUGGAAAAGGUUGGAGAGAAUGUGGCAUCUUCGGAGGUGUUAUAGCUCUCCUUCGAAUACAUAGAGCGGGACUGAGGAACGCAGCGUGCCCUUUAUUGGGUUGGCCUUCGGGUACAUACACGCUUAGGAUGCUGGCAUAAUGGCUUUAAACGACCCGUCUUGAAACACGGACCAAGGAGUCUAACAUGUUUGCGAGUGUUUGGGUGGUAAACCCGAACGCGUAAUUAAAGUGAAUGCAGGUGGGAUCCGCAAGGAGCACCAUCGACCGAUCUGGAUCUUUUGUGAUGGAUUUGAGUAAGAGCACAUAUGUUGCCACC
rnacentral:rRNA from 1 species